GGAUCCCUGAGGUCCGGGAGGUCCCGGAACCGGGUCGGCCUCCUACCUGCCCGGCUCUUCGGGCUCCCUCUGGCCGGCCCGGCGGCCCUACUUGCGAGCCGGCUCACCUGGUUGUCCCAAAUGGCAGCAGAGCUGUACCUGGGUGACAACGGAUGAGGGUUUAGCGCCUCUUUUGCCCGUGGGUCCUGGCAACCACCGACGUCAAGGGAAACGGCCCCAUUGGCUACGCGGGGACCGAGGAUAACUCGGGAGCGCAGGGUCUCGUCCAGGGGGUCGCUGCAUAGACGCUCCCACUCUUUCCUCUGCAAGGGAACAGUGACUCUUAGUGUUUUGAGAAAAUGAACCUCAUCAGGUGAGCGCCUUUCACUGGGCAGGAAGAAACGUAAAAUCUUUUGCAUAUUGCAUAAAACGGGACACAGACCCCCAUUACUGGUUCUGCAAUAAUAGCAUGAAUUAUUUUCCAUGAGAUUCUUAACCUUCACCUCGUACUAGUAAAGAAGACAUUUAUCAUCAGAGGUCUACUUUAAAAAAAAUGACGAUCCCAACGUCCAAAUCCCAGCAUUUUAACACCCUUUCCGUAUGGAAGCUACCCCUCCAGUAAGCAGGAUGCACAUUGGAUACUGGAAUGACCCGUGUGUCUUCUGACAGCCGAGUGUCAUGACCGGCACAUGAAUGAAUAAUGACAUGAAUUGGCUGGCCAUAGUCUCUACAGAAACCAAACCAUUGUAGAACACUGAAAAAGUGUUCCUUGUUUCUUCCUGCCCUUAUACUUAACCUCCCUUCACACUGCCUAUUCAGCUGAGUUCCUUUAUUCUUUUCUUUUUUC